rnacentral:rRNA from 1 species
ACCUCCUACGGGGCGCAGCAGUAGGGAAUCUUCCACAAUGGACGAAAGUCUGAUGGAGCAACGCCGCGUGAGUGAAGAAGGGUUUCGGCUCGUAAAGCUCUGUUGGUAGUGAAGAAAGAUAGAGGUAGUAACUGGCCUUUAUUUGAGGGUAAUUACUUAGAAAGUCACGGCUAACUACGUGCCAGCAGCCGCGGUAAUACGUAGGUGGCAAGCGUUGUCCGGAUUUAUUGGGCGUAAAGCGAGUGCAGGCGGGUUAAUAAGGCUGAUGUGAAAGCCUUCGGCUCAACCGGAGAAUUGCAU